UACGAAGGGGGCUAGCGUUGUUCGGAAUUACUGGGCGUAAAGCGCGCGUAGGCGGCCCGGUAAGUCCGCUGUGAAAGUCGGGGGCUCAACCCUCGAAUGCCGGUGGAUACUGUCGGGCUAGAGUGCGGAAGAGGCGAGUGGAAUUCCUGGUGUAGCGGUGAAAUGCGCAGAUAUCAGGAGGAACACCGAUUGCGAAGGCAGCUCGCUGGGACGUAACUGACGCUGAGACGCGAAAGCGUGGGGAGCAAACAGG
rnacentral:rRNA from 1 species